rnacentral:rRNA from 1 species
GACGAACGCUGGCGGCGUGCUUAACACAUGCAAGUCGAACGGAAAGGCCCUGCUUGCAGGGUACUCGAGUGGCGAACGGGUGAGUAACACGUGGGUGAUCUGCCCUGCACUUCGGGAUAAGCCUGGGAAACUGGGUCUAAUACCGGAUAGGAGCCAUUUUUAGUGUGAUGGUUGGAAAGUUUUUUCGGUGUAGGAUGAGCUCGCGGCCUAUCAGCUUGUUGGUGGGGUAAUGGCCUACCAAGGCGGCGACGGGUAGCCGGCCUGAGAGGGUGGACGGCCACAUUGGGACUGAGAUACGGCCCAGACGCCUACGGGAGGCAGAAGUGGGGAAUAUUGCACAAUGGGCGCAAGCCUGAUGCAGCGACGCCGCGUGGGGGAUGACGGCCUUCGGGUUGUAAACUCCUUUCGCUAGGGACGAAGCUUUUUGUGACGGUACCUAGAUAAGAAGCACCGGCUAACUACGUG